CACGUGACCUGUAACAACCCGUCAGCUGACAAGUGGACCCGAAGGUAACUUAGGAAAUAGCUCAAUGCCACCUGAGAUCUUCAGCAUACAGCUGAUGCGGGUAGCUGUGAAACGCAAGUCUCAACAAUGAUAUAAAAGCCAAUUUGUCACCCGUAAGUUCGUACCCCUAUGUGUUACUCUGCUGUGACGACACCGUGGCUGAAAACGGCAACAUACAUGCUGACAUAUCACGGCUCAUAAUCGCCUCGAAUACAAGAUUCGAACCUGCGUGAUCUGGUAGCAAAGGGAGCUCACCAUCACACAUUCGACAGCUGAUUUUGUGAGAGGAUACGCCCACAGCACAGAACAAUGCUUGCAAGGGAUAGUCUAAACAGUGAUCAAUGGUUACAUUUUGUUGAUCAUCGUCAUUACGCUCAGUAAUUUGUAAUUAGUAAAUAUGAAUAAUUCAUGCAGGAAUCGAAUUCGAAGCUAUAAUGAAUAAUCGUAAUUUAAAACUAUAUUCCAUUCGAAAUGAACCAAUUAUGUUUCACUGUAUCAAAAUAUACUUAGAUCGAACUCUCGUAUAUCCGGACCCUGUGCAAUGAAUCCCGAGGCCUACUGCACGGAACUUCAUGUAUACAAAGGGACAUUACUCAGCUUGGUGAAUUUU